UUUAAUUAUGUGCUAACUCUACUAACUACUAAAGCCUAAGGCCUUUGAAAUUACUAUUUUGGGUUUUAUAAUAUUUUAUAUUUUCAGAUGUCACAGGCACAGGACUAUUGGAGUUGAUAACAGUGUCAAAGCAUUUCAGGAGUUUCUAUUUCCAUUAUUCCUGAAUUCCUAAAUCUUCUGAAGCAUAUAUCAGUAUCACAGAUGACUGAGCCCUUUCACGAAGGUGGCGCCGAAGGCGAAGAAGGAAGCCCCUGCCCCUCCCAAAGCCGAAGCCAAAGCAAAGGCUUUGAAAGCUAAGAAAGCGGUGCUGAGAGGCGUGCACAGUCACAAAAAAAGAGAAGAUUCUGACGUCACCUACAUUCCGACGACCCAAGACCCUGCGUCUCCAGAGGCAGCCCAAAUAUCCUCGAAAGAGCGCCCCCAGGAAACAAGCUUGAUCACUUUGCCAUCAUCAAGUUCCCCUUAACUACUGAGUCAGCCAUGAAGAAAAUAGAAGACAACAGCACACUUGUGUUCAUGUGGAUGUCAAGGCCAAUAAGCACCAGAUCAAACAGGCUGUGAAGAAGCUCUAUGACAUUGAUGUGGCCAAGGU
rnacentral:lncRNA from 12 species